AGAAAACUUUCCUCAUAGUCUUUAAUUUUAUUUUGAUGCCAGAGAUUUCUACAUAUCUCUUAUGUUAAGUCACUUUGAACUAGAACAGUUUCGGCGGUUCUCAGUAUUUGGCAGAUUUUUACACACAAACUAUAAAUUUAAAGCAAGUCAGAAUGCUCAUUUUGACAUUGACAGGAAAAUGUUUAUUUUCAAUAUUCUUUGUUAAUGGAAAAGUAUAUCUGCAAUUUAUUUGCAUACACCAAGUCGUCAAAAUGGGAUCACACUUUUUAGAGUGCUAUAAAUAUGUAAUUCAAUAAAACCAAACCUGCUGGCUGGGAGUACAACCUUUUUAAUUCCAGUUGCCCGACCCGCCGCAGGCACGCAGGACUAUUUGUGACCGCAAAUAUGAUGGCAAAUUGCCACUUUGCAGCACCAACAGGCAAACCCGAAAACCUCAAAAUCCCCAAAAGCCCCAGAACCCAAAUAGGAGUUCUUCGGAAGGAGCCAGCACUCCCCGAACAACCGACCAUGCCACAGCAUCCGGUUGGUGCUGGAAACGCUGCUGGGGCACUUAGAAUUUAGCCUGCAAUUUAAGCAAUUAUCGUUGAAGCUGGCCCAGCAUUAGGCUUUCAGGACUUGACAUGUGCCCUCUCUAACACCGAUCUGGCAGGAUGUUGGUUCUGAAAGCACGUCCCUGUGUGUGUGUGGGCUUCCUGUCUCGGAUGGCUAUUAUUAUUGCAGCUUGUUUUUACAAGGAUUGCAUGUAAGUCUCAGCCGUCCCCUCCUCUUCGCUCUUUUAUUUUGCCAUAUGCUUGGCGAUUAUGUUUCGGACAUUGUACAUGAAUAUUUUGCUUGUUUAAUUAAGAGUGAAAAUUGCUGGUAUUAUAUAUA